GCACCUCCUCGUGGUGCCUAGCGCAUAACUGGGGCCGCCUGCCUAUCACGGGCAGCCCUUUUAACUGCUAGCUACAGGC